CUCCCUGAUUGGUUGGCUGCACUGUUGCGUGUUGCCGUUCCUGAGGUCCUUCGCUGGCGGUGGCGGUAGCAGGGCGAGGUGCUGGCUAGAGCCAGAAUAGCUCGAAUGCCAUUUCCGUAGCCUUUUGCCAGUCUGGAGUGACUCUGAAGAUGCUUUUCACUGGAUCCUGAAAUCAGCUGUAUUGCAUAGCACCAGUACAAUGAGAUGAGAUGGCCCAUCCAGCUCUGCUCACCCUGAGAAGGAUGACUGAAGGAGAGGGACCUGACCAGACCAACUAGAUAAUGUCCCUGUCCGGGGAGAAGAGCCAGUGUCCAGAACAAUAGCUUUCAUGGCUGACCUGCAAGACCAAAGCAUCUGUCCCAUGACUGACCAGCCACCCUGUAUCCUAAGCUGUAUUUUCCCCAUCUUUAUUAUCCUAGUUUUUCUCUCUCUCCUGUGUCUAUUUUGUCUAAUGCAGGAAAGUGACUAUUAUUCUAAAUUCAAAAUUGAAUAAUAGAACACCAAGGGCUAUUUGACUAAAUAAGAGAUGUUAACUAAUUAUUCAUGUCUCUAGAAAAGACUUUGAUAGGUUUUUAUUAUUUGUUCUUUAUCUUAUUUUGCUUCUUUCCUUUUGUGUGUUUCAAGUAAUACAUUUCUAAGUUUUGGUCUGAGUUUUAUAGUAUAUUUGCCAGGGUAUUAAGGAGUCUGAGGUCUUUAUAUAUCAAACCCUGGAGCUUUUAAACAUUGUUUAAUGUUGCACAGUAACUGGGUUUUAUUAAAACCUUUAGCCCAUAUAUUACAACUAAAUUAAUAAGAUCUACCUCAUUCACUACACAGUAACUAAGGUACAGUAAGGGGUAACACAAAGUAAGCAGUAUGUCCUAGUGAGGUGUAAAUAUAUUCAUUGGGGAGCAUUUAGAUAAAUCUGAUAGAAAAAUGAACUGAUAUUACUAUAAAAUAAGCUCCAAAAUAGUUCUUGAAGAGUUCCUCAGACUUUUUACUUCUUGUUAUCAUUAAAUGUAGAACUGGUUGCAUAACUUAUUGCAAAUAAUGAUUGUUGUACAUUUUUGACAUCUCUGCAGUGACUAAAUUAUAAUUUUUUAUUAUAAUUAAAAGAAAUUUCUCCA